rnacentral:tRNA from 1 species
GGGCGGUUAGCUCAGUGGGAGAGCGCCUGCUUCACACGCAGGAGGCCAGAGGUUCGAGUCCUCUACCGCCCACCA